AAUGUUCCACUUCAACAGUAAAAUGUUCUUUUUCAUAAAUGAAUUCUUGUAAUGUUCCAUUUCAUCAAUAAAAUGUUCGUUUUCGUAAAUGAAUUUUGUAAUGUUCCACUUCCACAGUGAAAGGUUCGUUUUCGUAUUCGUAAAUGUUCGUUUUCGUAUUCGUAAAUGUUCUAUUUUGUAUUGUGGGAGCACAGUUCUCAUUGUGCUCCCGGGAGCACAAUGCACGCAUUAGAGAAAUUUGGGGCAAAGGGUUGAUGUUUUGCUCUAUUUUUUUUAUACUUCCUCCGUUUUUCUUUUUACCCGCAACUGGACUUGGUUAUUGGACGGGUCGAGUUAGGAUCAGUGCAGAUUAGAAGCGUGUUGGGUCAUAAGAGUCGUCUCAUAAAGGGUCGAUUGUAAUAUCCUAAAAACUUAACCAAGUUUAAUGAAUUAAUUAGUUAUAAUUAACACUAAUUUGACUAAGAUUUAUAAAAAAAAAUUUAUUAUGAUAAACAUAAAUUACUAGACUUGGUAAAAAGUGGUAAUUCUAUUCUUUUGUUUAACAAGAAAAUCUUAAACUUAUAAUUUAACUAUCACCAAGUUAGGUAGUUGAAAGUUGAAACAAUGACUAUUUUCUGAUUUCAUAAAUUAAAAGAAAAAUAAGAGUAUUAUAAAACUGAGAAAGUUGACUGCUUUCUUCCUCCUUCAUUCCUUCAUUCUCAUGGCAAACACAUGGCACACAUGCCUUCACUCUCUUCUUCUUUUUCAAGUCAAAAUCUGCCACCAAUCCUUCACCAUUGCUUCUUCAAGUUAACAAAUUCAGAUUAUUUACUUCACCAUCUUCCUCCCAACCACUAAUUUUUAACUCCAAACUUCCCUAUAAAUAGUCAUGGAUACAACACCAAGAAAUUAACCAUCAACAACAACCUUCAUCAUCUCUUUUCUCUCUAAUCAGAAAUUCAGUCAAUAAUCGCCGGAAAGAUUGUGACUAAAAGAAACCCAAAAGAAAACCCAUAUUUUCUCUCUCUCUCCUCUGUUUCAAAAACACCACCACCACCACCAUUUUCCACCUCACGCAACACUUGCGUCGUGCCCCCUUGCCUCCGCCGUCGCUCGCCGGAGCACCGCCGACCACCCCACCCUCAUGUUUUCUCUCUCUCCUCCUCGCACACUCUCUCUCCUCCUCGCGCCCUCUCUCUCGCUCCUCUUCUUCUUCGCGCGACACUGCUGCACGCGCAGCACCACCGACGACCGCGCGCGCCGAACCAUCGAAGACCACCGCCGGAGACGGACGCAGCUGCUCGGAGUCGCCGCUGAUUCCCGUUCGCCGGAUCUCUACUCCGCUCCCCUGUUGUGCGGUCCAUCCCUGCUCAAUGAGUAGAGAUUAAAGAAGAUAAAGGAUAUUACAAGCCUCCCCCGGCUAUCAUGGUUGGUAAGCAGGAAUUCAGGUAUGGAAGAACAGUUGUGGAUCACUGAUAGACUGCGUUAUGGAGAUUAUGUAUGAUUCAUGAGGUUUUAAGAUACUUUGUAUAAUGGAUAAACAAGUAUUAUCUUGCGAUGAGUAAUUGUAUAGUGAAUUUUUAAUUUUA